rnacentral:miRNA from 1 species
CGAGCACAUCCAAAACAUAUAA